GCAGUUGAAAGAAACCCUUGUGUAAUAGUGCAGAUCAUACUACAACGCCAAAAUUGUCAAGUCUUGUGAAAUCCUCCACCCCUCGUAAUGGCAGUCUUCCAAUUUUUAGAUUCAGUUUGAACUGGAACACAAUGAGUAAUCUCUAACCAUCUGUCCUGACAGCCACUGGAAAACACUGAUGACAGUCAGCUGAUGUUUGUCUGACUCUGCAUCUUAAAAAAGGCAUUAUUAAUGAUUAUCUUCUUAUAAGCAUACAUUCAUUUGUUAAUAUUGAAGUGGAGACAAGGCUUUUGCCUUGUCUAUCUCUAACCUUGACCAAGUAGAUGUAGUUUCCAGAAUGUUUUGAGCAAGAUUAGGUUUUCUUUGAGAACUGAAAAUAAGACUAAUUUGCUGAUCUUUGGAAUUCUUGUGGCGAAAUGGAGAAGUACACGCCUAAGUGACCACUGCAAACCAGCAUCGAUGGAGGGACACUCUAAUCAACAUUUUGUACAAGGAUCUCUGAAAAAGAGGUCACUGCUCUUGGUGCUGGACAUGGACAUCACAGUUCUGUGAGAACUUUCCAGUCACCCCAUUAUCAGGAUGAGGAAACUGCCAUGGAGUAUGAUUCAAAUGCAAGUCUUGAGGACGAGAAUGAAGAGAUUUGACUGAAGACACCGUCACCUUCCAGAUGAACCUGCAAGACAUAUUUAAUGCCAUUCUGACAAGCAGGUUGUUAAUGUUUUGUUUUUUAGAUGUCAUACAAGGUUUGGUCUAUAGCCAUGCUGGCAGCUCUGAGGGGCUAUGCUUUGAGUGCUUUGAGAGAAAUGCUAACAUCAAGCUGAUAUCUGAUGACAAUGCUUGCAUGCUGAGUUUUAGAAAUUUUUAGAAAGUUAUUGAUUUCCAAAUUGUGUUAACAGCUAUGUUUAACUCUCAAAUAACCAGUUCAAGACUAGCAAGUGAGUACCAUAAACAUCUUUAUCCUCUCUACCAUCCAUGCGUGACAGCUGCACAAACCCAUAAUUGUCCAGACAUUUCAUAAAAAUGACAAAUGUCACCUUAAUGGUGACACUAGAGGUGAAGGAUCAACAAAUUUAUUGUUGAUUCAUCCAAUGGGGACCUUGAAUGGAUGCUGAGAUGUUUUAGUCUGAACCAAACACGGACAGACCUGCCCUAGCGCCUCAAGCAUGGCUAGAAGAAACAAACAAAAAAAGAAAUUAACUUGUCUCUCAGAGUCACCCGAAAAUGUGAAUGUGAAUUCUGACAUUUCUAAUGGUGUGUUGUUGGUAACAUGACAAAAAUAUGGAGGUGUGUAUAGUUUUUAUAACAUGUAUCAUAAGUAACCUGAUUCAUCUUUACAGCCUACUUUUCAUUAUUAUUUAUCUCUUUAUGUAUAUAUAGAGAUGUAAAUAAGAUUUAUUUUUGAUACAAAUUAUUUUGUAGAUGAUUUGUCCUAAUCAUUCCACCUUAUUUUUGUUUUGUUGGUAUUACUGUCAGUCAAAAAUGUCAGAAUUUGAAUUCUGUUCUCUGAAUAUUGAACAAGUUAAGAAAGCUG